rnacentral:rRNA from 1 species
UGGGGAAUAUUGCACAAUGGGCGCAAGCCUGAUGCAGCCAUGCCGCGUGUGUGAAGAAGGCCUUCGGGUUGUAAAGCACUUUCAGCGAGGAGGAAGGUGGUGAGCUUAAUACGCUCAUCAAUUGACGUUACUCGCAGAAGAAGCACCGGCUAACUCCGUGCCAGCAGCCGCGGUAAUACGGAGGGUGCAAGCGUUAAUCGGAAUUACUGGGCGUAAAGCGCACGCAGGCGGUUUGUUAAGUCAGAUGUGAAAUCCCCGGGAUCAACCUGGGAACUGCAUUUGAAACUGGCAAGCUAGAGUCUCGUAGAGGGGGGUAGAAUUCCAGGUGUAGCGGUGAAAUGCGUAGAGAUCUGGAGGAAUACCGGUGGCGAAGGCGGCCCCCUGGACGAAGACUGACGCUCAGGUGCGAAAGCGUGGGGCAGCAAACAGGAUUAGAUACCCUGGUAGUCCAGCGCUGUAAAACGAUGUCGAUUUGGAGGUUGUGCCCUUGAGGCGUGGCUUCCGGAGCUAACGCGUUAAAUCGACCGCCUGGGGAGUACGGCCGCAAGGUUAAAACUCAAAUGAAUUGAC